UACGUAGGGUCCGAGCGUUGUCCGGAAUUAUUGGGCGUAAAGGGCGCGUAGGCGGCGCGGUAAGUCACUUGUGAAAUCUCUGAGCUUAACUCAGAACGGUCAAGUGAUACUGUCGUGCUAGAGUACAGAAGGGGCAACUGGAAUUCUCGGUGUAGCGGUGAAAUGCGUAGACAUCGAGAGGAACACCUGCGGCGAAGGCGGGUUGCUGGGCUGAUACUGA
rnacentral:rRNA from 1 species